GGACACGGAGGCAUGGGUAGUCAAGGUUUCACUAUGUAAGCCAGGCUGGUCUUGAACUCUUGACCUCAAGUGAGCGACCCACCUUGGCCUCCCAAACUGUUGGGAUUACAGGCGUAAGCCACCGCGCCUCGCCGCAGGGGCUAAUCUUGAAACAAACUAGGUAUGGAAACCCAGCUGCAAAACUCCAGAGAUCACCUCAAGGCGAUCAAUCUACAACGUGGCCAUUGUUGACUUGACACCAGCCCAUGCUCCAGGUGGCCCGUGACUCAAGACAGCCUUCGGAGCAAGACACACAUACCUUGUACCCAGCACCACUCCUGUAUGCCUCCCAUUCAAAGUUCCCCUUUUUAAGCCCCUCUCCCCAGCCUAAAGCUUGAAAUGGUCUUCUAAAGACAUUAGCUUGGCCAUUUCUCAUCUGCGAGCAUUUGAUCAGUAAAGCUGCUUUACUUUCACCACCCCC
rnacentral:lncRNA from 1 species